rnacentral:tRNA from 1 species
GGGCUCGUGGUUUAGUGGUAUAAUACUCCCUUAGCAAGGCGGACUGGGAGUGGUCCGGGGUUCGAUUCCCCGCGAGUCCA